rnacentral:rRNA from 1 species
CAGGGAUUCCCUUAGUAACGGCGAGCGAAGUGGGAAGAAGCCCAGGUCUGAAAUCUCCCAGCUGGCAAUUGUCACGGUUGGGCGAAUUGUGGUCUGGAGAGGCGGACUGUCCCGAUCCACUGCUUGCGAGCCCGAAGUUGACUUGGAACGGCACGCCAGAGAGGGUGAGAGCCCCGUAGGGCCCGGAAAUCGGAAGCAGCGGGACGAGGGUCCGUACUCGUAGAGUCGGGUUGUUUGGGAAUGCAGCCCCAAGUGGGUGGUAGACUCCAUCCAA